CCGGGAGCUGGAGGGACGGGGCCGGGCGGCCGGCGGCCGCCGCGCUCGCCUGACCUGCGUGCCCCGCUGGCCGCGCCGGGCUGCCCCGAAGGAUGUCCGCCCAGUCCAAGGGGACCGCAUCCUCCUCCUCCUCGCCGUCCGAGGGGCCGCCGGCAGCCUCCAAAACCAAGGUGAAGGAGCAGAUCAAGAUCAUCGUGGAGGAUUUGGAAUUAGUCCUGGGAGACCUGAAAGAUGUCGCCAAGGAACUUAAGGAGGUGGUUGACCAGAUUGACACACUGACAUGUGAUCUGCAGCUGGAGGAUGAGAUGACAGACAGCUCCAAAACAGACACCCUGAACAGCAGCUCCAGCAGCACGACGGCCUCCAGCCUGGAGAAGGUGAAGGUGCGGGGCAGCGCGCCGCUCAUCAAGCCGCCCGCGCACCCCUCCGCCAUCCUCACCGUGCUGCGCAAGCCCAACCCGCCGCCUCCGCCGCCUCGCCUGACGCCCGUCAGGUGCGAUGAGCCCCCCAGGCUGCCUCCCUUGGCCAACCCGCUCAAGACCAAUGGCACCCUGCUGCGGAACGGGGGCCUGCCCGCGGCGCCGGGCCGCGUCCCCAACGGAGAUGUGUGCUGUGUGCCCAGCAGCGGCCUGGAGAAGGUGGUGAUGCCGCCGCACAGGGCGGAGAAGGAGCGGUGUGCCCAGGCCGGAGCCAGGGAGCGAGUGCGGUUCAGCGAGAAGGUGCAGUACCACGGGUACUGCCCCGACUGUGACGUUCGCUACAACAUCAAAAACAGAGAGGUGCACUUGCACAGCGAGCCCGCCCGGGCUGCGGGAAAGCUGCCACACCAGUGCCCUCCUCUGCCGCCUCCUCCACCUCCACUGCCUCCAUUUCUUCUGGAAAAUGGAGGGUUGGGGAUAAGUCCCAGUAAUAGCUUUCCUCCUCCAAGACCUGCAACUGUGCCUCCACAAACUGCGCCAAAACCCCAGAAGACCAUCUUGAGGAAAUCAACCACUACAACAGUGUGAAGUAUGCCCCUUGUAAUAACUCUUUGUUUUUUCCUAUAUAUAAACAUAAAUAGGUAAUGAGCACUUUCUACUUGAGCAAUAAAAAGACCCAGUGUAUUACACCCUGUGUCCAGUGAAGUGGCAUAAAAAUCACAUGGCUGAACAAUCCCUAAUCUCUCAGGCUUUCUUCAUAGGAGAGAUUCUCCAGCCCUCCAACAACUUCUGUGUCCCUCCUCUGGACUCACUCUGACAGCACCUUCAGGCUUGAAGGAAUAUCUGUAUUUGGAGGCACGUCAAUUAAUUUGCGUAUCAGAUUCAUCAUUGUGACUUCUUGCAGGCCAGAUCUGAGAAGUAACCAGGAAACCUGACCUUUAGUGGAGAAUGGAAGAACCCUUGAAGUCAGAGCACAACUGAGCACUAGUGUAAUCUGCAUUGAAUCAUCUUUCUCAGAUCUGACAGCUAGAAGCUGAGUCCUGGCAACAGCCACAGCCUUAAAUUCCAUUCAGUGGGAAAGAAGGAUAAGAGAACUCAAUGUUUUGCCCCAUUGCAGAAACUGCUGUUUCCAGGCCUAACACCUGAGUCCUGUGCUGAGCAACGAGAGUACCAAACAAGGAGGUUUUUAUGGGUACAGCCAGCAUCAACAAAUAUUUCAAUAUGUAGCCAAAAGGAAAAAGGAAGCACUUAGUAAUUUCAGAAAAUGGAUGCAUUUAUUGUAACAGAGAAAUGUUACUGUCUGUGGGGAAGAACACCUCUGUUGUCCCUUGUAUAUAUUCAAAGCCAUACAGGAACAGGGCAUAAGUGAAGUCACUUAAAAGGAUGCUGUCUCCUGUCCUCCACCCAACUUUGAGGAAGUUCUGCUCUUAGAGAUUGCUUCUCGAGGCACUUCUGUUAUUUGCACUGUCACUUCCAUUCAGGGUAAUGAUGUGUGCCACCGUUUGCACAGAUGGCCCCAGGAGAUUUUUGACCACAACAAGCUAUACUUUGCCAGGGCUCCAAAUGGAAUUAAAAAGUUAGAACUGAAGAAAGACAUUUAUGCUCUCUUUCACUAUGGGGAUCUCUUCACAGAAAGGAUUAUGGUCCUUUCUUAGGAUGAAAUAAAUACAUGCAUAUACAUACAUAUAUACAUAUGUAUAUAUAUGAAAAAGCAGCAACAUGAUAAGGUGUAUUUAAAAAGGGGAUAUAAUCUUUUUUAAUAGCAUCCAUUUUUUUUAUCAUAUUAGCAGCCGAGAAAUUUAAUCUAUUGAAUUAUACAUCAAAAAACGUUCCUGUUGAACAUUGACAUUUAGUCCCAGUUACUGCUAAAGAAGUCAUUUGUAAUAUGUACUUGACAUAAAAUUUUUCUAGCCAUUUGUCUAUACUUCAUGGAGAAAUCUAACAGACAAGCAACAUUUUCAGUUUAUUUUUCUAAAUAAAUGUGUUGUUUGUAUUAUUUGCAGUCACUCAUUUUGGCUGGUUUUCAUUAUCUCCAAAAGUGAUUUAAAGACAGAACCAAAACACAGGGAUUGUUUGUUCUUGUUAAGCUGUAAUGAUUUGCUGAAUGAAAGCUUUAAUAUAAAUACUGUAAUUUGUAAAAUGAUGAAGUAUAUUUAUAUAGGCAAAUAUGUAUGGAAAACAAAAGGAGGUAUUUUAACUCUUAAUUUCAGAACAUAGUUUAUUUUAAUAUCCACAGGAAGAAAUUAAAUAUAUAAUGGGAUAGGGUUUUUAUUAUCAAUGAGUUUUACUAAGUGAAAAUUUGGAUGUUUAAGAAUGAAAUGAAUGUAGUCAAAUAAUGGUGGUUUCCCAAAUUAUAUGAAGACCUUUUGCCAGUUGUCUCAUUUUACUCAAAAACUGAUUUAAUCAUCAGGGGGUUGGGUUUUUCUGGGGGGGUGUGUGUGCUAAGGUUUUUGUUUGGUGUUUUGUUUGUUUUGGCAUACUGACAGGACCAUGAAUUUGAUACUAUUUGCUCAUAAUUUGAAAAGCUACAGAAUAAAAUAUUGUUUCUUAGAACAAUCUACAGUUUGCAGUUAAGAACAGUCAUUGUUAUCAAACUAAUGCAGUGUUUUGUUGUAGAGUUACUGAACAUUUCAAUGCUAGAGCUGUUUUGAAUAAAUUUUUUUUCCUUUUUUUCUUAGUCCAUUAGCCUAUGUGUAAUUCAAAGAGAAAAGUAAUGCAUUUGGUUCCCAGUUCACUUAAAUAAUGUGUCUUAAUUCCAGUCAUAUGUAUCUGAUUUUUAAAAAGCUGAAUAGUUUUUUUUUUCCAGUGCAUUGCUUUAUAGAAGCAUUUAAGUGCUCACUACCCGAAAAAAUACUUUUCAACAACAGAAAUAAUUUUCAAAAAAUCUGUGGGUUAACUUUGUGAAGGGCAGAUGUCUUAAAAAUGUGUUGCUCUGCUCUAAUGUGCUAACAAGUGUAAUGCGUGUAUAUUUGUGUGUGCGUGUGCACGCAUGGCACCCUUACCUGCUCAUGAAUGAAAUGCCAGUUCUGCUGAAGUAAGUGCCACAAGUCCUGUUACUGCAAAAGAUGCUCAUGUUACUGUAUUCUUUGGUGAAAGACCUCUGUCUUUGCUUGUGACUCUGAAGCCAUAAACAGCUUUUGAAGUUUGUCAGGAAAUCAGAAAAUUAAGUACAUUUAUGUUAGGCUCCCUCAUUUGGCAAAAAUUGGGAUGAUCUUAUGAUUUGAAUCUUUUUAUGAAAGUUAGUGGUCAAUUUCCUUUGGCGCAAUGGAUAAAUGAAACCUUUGUAUUUGUUAAAGAAUGAUGUCUGUGUUUUGUUCACACACAAUUCAGCUUUUGGCUUAUAGUGUUCUUACUGUGAUGUCAUUCCUGUAUCAUUAGAAUAAGUUAUUUGGACACAUAACUGGCUUGGUUUUCCUCCUUUUUUGGAUUAUCAGUAUUUUAAAAUUGGAGAGUUUCUUCUUUGAGACAAGUAUUCAGUUGUUUAAGAAGGGAACAACAUUAUUGAAACAAUAAGAAAAUUUCAGAAUAAUAAUUCGAACACUUCCAUCAUUGUCCAAUAAUAACAAUUGAAAAAGCUCUUAUUUUUGUGAACAAAAUGCAUUCAUCUGUAUUUGAAAACAGCCCAAUAAAAAUCCAGUGGAAUAAUUUGUUACUACUUGCAAAUACUUUUCUGCUAUGCUGAGUUCUAGAUCAGCUUGUGUGUAAAAUUUUUAUUGCACAAAACCCACCUAAAACAAUGCUCAGUUUUCUUCAGAAAAAUACAUGAGAUAUGAAAAAUAA